rnacentral:snRNA from 1 species
AUGCUUACUUCGGCAGCACAUAUACUAAAGUUGGAACGAUACAGAAAAGAUUAGCGUGGCCCCUGCACAAGGAUGACAUGCAAAUUCGUGAAGUGUUCCAUAUUUUU